AGCCCUGGAGGGACAUUUAUUAUUUAAAAUUUAGUACUUAAAAUUUAUUACUUAUUACCUAUUAUCUAUAACUUAUAACUUAUUAUUUAAAGAUUAUGACUUAUUAUUUACAUAUUAUCUGAACCGCGCUAUAUUUGGCGGGAGAAACAAGAUGUUAAUUGAGGCGAUGACCGAAAAGGAUGAAGUUGAGGAUCAGUUACAGAUGGAUCGUACGCGGAAACAGAAGUUACAGCAGCUAGUACAAAGCAUAAUGGCCACUAAAAAACUGAAAGGCAAUCUCUUUCAAAGCACACGAGUCCUUAUACUAGAAGUGGUCGUGGGCGUGAAGGAGGUCAGAAUACAAGGUGCCCAUAGGUUGGCAACAUUUUAGCAAAGGGAAAUACAGAAUUGUUAUGAAAAGGAAUGGAGGUGGUACACGAUAUAUAUACAAGAAUUCUGAUGAAGAAGUAACAGUAGAUGAAAUACUCAUAGAAGGGAAAGCAUUUUACUUUAAGGAUGGCAAAAGCAAGUUUGGUUUAUUUGAGGAAAUGGCUGUUACCCUUGUGACAGCUUCUGGACAAGAAAUUUCAGGCUUCACAGACAGAAAUGGUCUGCCCUGUUGCAUCACAGAGUAUGUUAAAGCUUAUGCCAGACUGUACCCAUCUCAGUGUCAUUUAUACUUAAGAACGAAAAUCAAAUCAGAAUCGGAUACAGAUAAAUGUUUAAAAACAAAAGAAGAAAGUCCGUGUUUCCUUGUAAACAACAUUAAAGCUGGGUUGCUGGAAAUAUCAUUUGAGAAAAAAACACAAUCUGUAUAUGCUGAUACAGGAAGUUCCAUUUUCAUUAAAUCAUACAGAACUGCUAUGUCUUUGGCAAAAGAUGAUCUUGAAGAAUACAAUGUUUUCAAUGAUGGCUAUUUAGUAAUUAGUGUACAGAAAGACAAUAAAGAAUAUUUGGUAGACAAUGAAAAUGUUUACUAUUUCCCACAAGUAAAUUUUGAUCCAAAUCAAGUUGUUUGCUUCAUUCAUGGACCGAAUAUUAUUCAUGGGAGUGAAACUGACGACUUGAAUCAUCUUAUUAUAGGAUGCCUGACAAUAUUUCAUAUUAUUUUCAAUAUAACAUGCAAAAGUCCUUUUAAAUACAAAAAAAAAAUCAAUUUCAGUAUAUCAAAAAAUCUCAGUUGAGUUCCUUUAAGAAUUAGCUUUUGAGCUUACAGAAAUUAUUAAUACACACUCAUGUUUAUAUACUAUACUCGUUUUGUUAAAAACCUUGUGUUAAAUAAAGCUAUUAUAAAUUUCUACAAAU